AACGCACAUUGCACUCCUUGGUAUUCCGAGGAGUAUGCCUGUUUCAGUAUCAUGAGCACUCUCACAACUAAUCUUUGUUGGUUAAGAUUGUGGAAUUGGGAUGCGCCAAUUGUUAUUGAUUGGCCCUCCUAAAAUGUAGCUCUUGACUGUGGACUGCUACAGUAGUUUGGCCUAAUAGUUUUGGCAGUUAUAUGUCAAAUCUUUGGCUACAUUUACUUUGGUCCAUGCAGUCUUGAUAUACAGAAAACUCUAAUACAACUUUGAUCUGAAAUCAGGUAGGGCUACCCGCUGAACUUAA
rnacentral:misc_RNA from 1 species